rnacentral:rRNA from 1 species
GACGAACGCUGGCGGCGUGCCUAAUACAUGCAAGUUGAGCGAUGAAGAUUGGUGCUUGCACCAAUUUGAAGAGCAGCGAACGGGUGAGUAACGCGUGGGGAAUCUGCCUUUGAGCGGGGGACAACAUUUGGAAACGAAUGCUAAUACCGCAUAACAACUUUAAACAUAAGUUUUAAGUUUGAAAGAUGCAAUUGCAUCACUCAAAGAUGAUCCCGCGUUGUAUUAGCUAGUUGGUGAGGUAAAGGCUCACCAAGGCGAUGAUACAUAGCCGACCUGGGAGGGUGAUCGGCCACAUUGGGACUGAGAAACGGCCCAAACUCCUACGGGAGGCAGCAGUAGGGAAUCUUCGGCAAUGGACGAAAGUCUGAACGAGCAACGCCGCGUGAGUGAAGAAGGUUUUCGGAUCGGAAAACUCUGUUGGUAGAGAAGAACGUUGGUGAGAGUGGAAAGCGCAUCAAGUGACGGUAACUACCCAGAAAGGGACGGCUAACUACGUG